UCUGCUGUUCCGCCAGCAGUAGCGUACCUGAUCGUGCGUCGCCGGCAACGCUGCGAUGACGCAGCAACCGAUAAACGCAUUUUUUCAAGUUGUGAUCGGGACGCGGAUAGUCUGAAUCCUCUUUGAUG
rfam:Burkholderia xenovorans LB400 chromosome 1, complete sequence.